rnacentral:tRNA from 1 species
GCCGGGAUGGCGGAAUUGGCAGACGCGAUGGAUUCAAGACCCAUUGUCGAAAGACAUGAGAGUUCGAUUCUCUCUCCCGGCACUA